rnacentral:lncRNA from 1 species
AUGUAUAGGAGGGUAAGAAACAAGGGGCUGCAUGGAGGAAAGCAAGAGAGAAAAAGGGGAAAAAAGAAGGAAGAAAAGAAAGAUCGGAAAGGACUUCUUAGGGGAGCUUCCCAAGGAACCGAUGGUCAUUAAUAUAAAUUUGAAGUCAGGGAAGAAAUGAACAUGGAAAAUUUCCAGACUGUGCCAGUAUGCUCUGACAGACCUCUGUGAUUUAACAUCCCUUCCUGACAGUGUGAAUUAUAAUUAAACCACAGACAUAUGGAAGGCAAGUUACUGAAUGUCAUUUGAGCUGUCGGCAUUGAGAGGGG